rnacentral:rRNA from 1 species
AAGCUGACGAGUGGCGAACGGGUGAGUAAUGUAUCGGAACGUGCCCAGUCGUGGGGGAUAACUGCUCGAAAGAGCAGCUAAUACCACAUACGACCUGAGGGUGAAAGCGGGGGAUCGCAAGACCUCGCGCGAUUGGAGCGGCCGAUAUCGUAUUAGCUAGUUGGUGAGGUAAAGGCUCACCAAGGCGAUGAUACAUAGCCGACCUGAGAGGGUGAUCGGCCACAUUGGGACUGAGACACGGCCCA